rnacentral:rRNA from 1 species
UACGGUAGGGGGCAAGCGUUGUCCGGAUUUAUUGGGCGUAAAGAGCGUGUAGGCGGCUAGAUAGGUCCGUUGUGAAAACUCGAGGCUCAACCUCGAGACGUCGAUGGAAACCAUCUGGCUAGAGUCCGGAAGAGGAGAGUGGAAUUCCUGGUGUAGCGGUGAAAUGCGCAGAUAUCAGGAAGAACACCCCGUGGCGAAGGCGGCUCUCUGGUACGUGACUGACGCUGAGACGCGAAAGCGUGGGGAGCGAACAGG